rnacentral:snRNA from 2 species
UCACCUUUCUCGGCCUUUUGGCUAAGAUCAAGUGUAAUAUCUGUUUUUAUCGGUUUAAUAUCUAAUACGUUGGCCAUUGGUCCACACGAUAUUAAAUUAAUUUUUUUAGGGGGAGAGCCCACCAUUGUAGCUUGCUAUUGGGGCUUUCAAGCGUGGCCCAAGUGUUGCACUAUUACUCGGGCCUAGCGCACCCCAC